AAUUUGUAGUUGAAUUGGCAAAAACUGUUUUAGCUUAUUGUCUCAAAAUGUAUUUCUGUCAUUCAUUUUUACACAAAAAUACUUGUAAAAUGCUCGUAUUGAUUAGAUAUUCCCUUUGUGCAAUUGGUGACAUCAUAUUAGCUGUUUAAAAAAAAAUGGAAAAAAGUAGUGAAUAUGGUGUCCAAAUUGCUGUUAAAAUCCAGGACACUAGAUAGUCCAGCACUAUAAAGUUUUUAGUAGUUAGGGAUUGGGGUGGGGAUUGGGACAUAGCCAAGUACUAUUUCUGGACUGUUAGUAAGCUGUGGUUCAAUGUAUAUAAAGACAUUUCUUCAUAUAAUUAUGAAUGAUUGGAUUCCCCUCUAAACUAGAGCUGAUCUCCGAGGAAGUUCAUGUAUUUAUUAAGUUUGCAGAGACAGGCCUCCAUGCCUCGGGAACAGUGUUACCAUAACAACAAGGGCGAGGGUGAUUUAAGGGUCACACAUUUCAUCAUAAGUCAAAGGCUUUUAAAUGUUGUUGGUCAAGUAGACCUCCGGGUUCCAACGUUUUACCCUGAAUGACAUUUAGUCUGGAGCGGCCUUUAAUGUUGGAGGGAGAGCUGAGAGUUGAGGCAGAAAAUGAGUGCCUCAAAUUAGAAAUGGAGUGCCUCAUGAAUGAAGCAACCAGUCGUCUGACUCUUGGGUUCAGGAUAAUUGGAUUUCAGCGUGAAAGUGAGAUGGGAGUUCACUCUUCAAGGACCAUCAGAGGAGGGCUUGUUGUGUGCAGCAGAUGUUAGGAAAGGGAGGCUUACGUGGCUUUAAAUAAAGGAAAAGAAAAAAAAAA